rnacentral:lncRNA from 1 species
UCACAACUUAGGAUUUAGUUUUGGGCUCCAACAUAUGAAAAAAUCAAAUCAUAGGGCAUACUAGCAACACUUGCUAAUUCUCUCACCACCCUUCUUACAACUUUUGCCUCUCAAUUUUUUUUUGCUUUUUCUUUAAUUUUUUUCUAAAAUUUUUUCUCUCUUUUAUACACCACUUAUCUCUGAUUUUCACCCAAAAUCAAGCUCCAAGUC